rnacentral:rRNA from 1 species
UACGUAGGGUGCAGGCGUUAAUCGGAAUUACUGGGCGUAAAGCGUGCGCAGGCGGUUUCUUAAGUCAGAUGUGAAAGCCCCGGGCUUAACCUGGGAACUGCGUUUGAAACUGGGAGACUUGAGUGUGGCAGAGGGGGGUGGAAUUCCACGUGUAGCGGUGAAAUGCGUAGAGAUGUGGAGGAACACCAGUGGCGAAGGCGACUCUUUGGUCUGUAACUGACGCUGAGGCGCGAAAGCGUGGGGAGCAAACAGG